rnacentral:lncRNA from 1 species
UGGGGCUUUGGCGGGCUUGGGCUUAGCUUCGACUCGCUGUGCAGCUGCCGAGACACGCUUUACGCGAAGACCUGUUGCACGGUUGUGGAAGGUCGGUAGCCAACUGGGGGGAGGGUGGUUUCCUUUCGGGCCGGAGAUGGUCCCUCUUGACCUGGGUGCACGGGCACCCUUGCUUGGUCGGAUUGUCCCUUCUUUGUAAUAUCGCAACCAUAAGGUGGCUGGGAGGCCGCGGCGCGUGCGGCUCGACUGGCUCGCGGGCGGGCGUGGGUCAUGCCGCUUCCUGCGGAUGCCGUGCGACAGGCGGCGGCGGGGGCCUUGACCCAGGUGGUGCGGGGACUGGGCUGGGUCCUGGACGGGGGCCCGCCUCUGCUGCUGUUGCACUACUCCGUGAAGGCAGGAACGGCCAUGCAACUGGGCCCCCAGGUUGCGGCGCUGCGGUCUAAACAUUUGUUGUAUGUGCGUGAUGCUGGUGUUUCUGCGGACGGCGCGCUUGCGGCUGCCGGCGCCUUUGCCGGCACUCUGGCCCGUUUGUGGGCGUUAAAAUGGGAAACUUAUCACAAGGAAGCGUUGUGGCGGGUGGCGGCCAAUGCGUGCUGGUCGUUCCCCAAAAAUGCCGCCCAGCGUGCAGCUGGGGUGGCAAUGCCCCUGUGCCGGGCGUGUGGGCGGGAUAUGUGUGAUGGGGACCGCCGGCACUACUUUUGGGACUGUGUUGUUGCUCGGGCGCUGCGGGAGAACAUGGCUGUGGCAAUGCUGGGGUCCCCUCCUGACACGGCUGAUGACUGUUUCUCCCGUGCUGACCUUUGGCUGGUGCAGCCGCCUGCUGGGCUGGCGCCGCCGGUGUGGGAUGUAGUGUGUUUGGCUGCGCUGUCUGCCCUUGACUCGGGCCGGCAGCAGGUGAUUAUGACUGGCUUGCGUGUGCGUCGGGCUCUGACGUCGGCGGAAGUCAUGCGCAUCAGUGUGUCCGUUAUUGCUGAUUUCUGGGGCCGGCUGCAGUCAUAUGUCAGUCUCGGCCUCCGCCCGAAAGCCUGGGCCACGGUGCCUGCGCACCAUCCGUUCCUCUCGCGGGGUGCGGGUGACUGUGUGCUGCUAGUGUUGCCUGAUGAUGUGGGCUCCCCGCCCCCCUCGCCUUAAUUUGCUCGUGGGUGGUGGGAGCGGUGUGCCUCUGGUGUGUGCGCUGUGGGUGUGGGGCGUCGACGUGGGCGUCGCCGGACUACGUGCCCGGUGUACCUGCGUUGACGCCUCGCCGGUUUGAUUGCGCCUCGUGCGCUAGUGCGGUUUGCUGUACGUUGGUGGGGCUUUGGCGGGCUUGGGCUUAGCUUCGACUCGCUGUGCAGCUGCCGAGACACGCAUUACGCGAAGACCUGUUGCACGGUUGUGGAAGGUCGGUAGCCAACUGGGGGGAGGGUGGUUUCCUUUCGGGCCGGAGAUGGUCCCUCUUGACCUGGGUGCACGGGCACCCUUGCUUGGUCGGAUUGUCCCUUCUUUGUAAUAUCGCAACCAUAAUGAACUCCUAGCCUCUAGGGCUCAUCCCCUAGCCCGCGAGCCUUGGCUCGCGUGGGGGCGCACAACAUCUUAGUUGUCGACCUUGGCUUUCGUUUCCAAAUUUUUGUCGCCUGUUCCGGGCGCUUUGAUCAGAUUGGUUCAGACAGGGUUGGGGUUCAGACAGGCGCUCAGCGCCGAGCUUUGGGUUCGAAGUUCCAUGGCGGCUCGCGGGCGGCUGGUCGCAUGAGUUCUUCGGUGUUGUGUUGUCAGUGGUUUCUGUCUUUGCAGGUAGUGGGUAGCCCUCGUGGUCGCCCUUGGCCCGGCGCAACGGCUGGCGCAUCGAUGCCUCGCCUGUGUGCGCCUCGGCGUCUUGCCUCGUGGCGCCCAGUCAGCCGUCGUCUCUGUCUGCGGUCUUCCUGGCUCUGCAGAUUUUAGCCCUGGGGGUUUUAGCUCGCAGCAUACGGUUCACGGACCGGUAGGCGCGUGGUGACCGCAGUCGGGUAGUCCCGGGUUUGGGGUGUGUGUGCACGGGCGGCUGUUGCCCGGGCGCCCGGGCGACUGUUGGCUCUUCUCGUCUCCGAGUGCCGCUGGGGCUUGUGUGGAGGGUCGGCCUGGGUCGUUGGUUGGACGGAUGGUGGGUGGUGCGCCCUUUGAGAGGGGCUGUGGUGUGCUGUGGCUUGGUGGUGUUUCGGCUUGGCUUCCGGUUCCAGUUGUGCCUCGGCACAGACUAUCAGACAUGGGCCUUCGGGCCAAGACAUUGCGCGUCUCUGACGCCAGCCAUCGUCUUCGGACGUGAUAUUUGUGUGGUGCUUGCGUUUGAUGGGGCUGUCGGCAGACCACUGGCCUGUCGUGCCUUGUUUUGCGUUGGUGCUGCCGCCAAAAGACCUAAAAGUGAUGAGGGGUGUUACGUGGCGGUGGGGCUUUGGCGGGCUUCGGCUUGGCUUCGACUCAUGCGCGUACCGCUAUGAAGGUCGGCAGUCAACCAGGGGGUGGGUGUUUCUCUCUGGGCCGGAGACGGUCCCUCGCGGCGUGGGUACGGUGUGCCCCCGCUUGUCGGCCUGUCCCUUCAAUUGUAAUUCGCAUCCAUAAUGAAUACAUAUAUCCCAAGCCUGCUAGCCUCUAGGGCUCAUCCCCUAGCCCGCGAGCCUUGGCUCGCGUGGGGGCGCACAACAUCUUAGUUGUCGACCUUGGCUUUCGUUUCCAAAUUUUUGUCGCCUGUUCCGGGCGCUUUGAUCAGAUUGGUUCAGACAGGGUUGGGGUUCAGACAGGCGCUCAGCGCCGAGCUUUGGGUUCGAAGUUCCAUGGCGGCUCGCGGGCGGCUGGUCGCAUGAGUUUU